GCACGAUUAGCUAGUUGGUAGGGUAACGGCCUACCAAGGCUUUGAUCGUUAGCUGGUCUGAGAGGAUGGCCAGCCACACUGGAACUGAGACACGGUCCAGACUCCUGCGGGAGGCAGCAGUGGGGAAUCUUGCACAAUGGGCGAAAGCCUGAUGCAGCGACGCCGCGUGGGGGAUGAAGCAUCUCGGUGUGUAAACCCCUUUCGACCCGGACGAAUGCCUCGCAAGAGGAGUGACGGUACGGGUAUAAGAAGCCCCGGCUAACUACGUGCCAGCAGCCGCGGUAAGACGUAGGGGGCCAGCGUUGUUCGGAAUUACUGGGUGUAAAGGGUUCGUAGGCGGUGUGGCAAGUUGGGAGUGAAAUCUCUGGGCUUAACUCAGAGACUGCUUCCAAAACUGCUGUGCUCGAGUGUGGGAGAGGCGCGUGGAAUUGCAGGUGUAGCGGUGAAAUGCGUAGAUAUCUGCAGGAACACCCGUGGCGAAAGCGGCGCGCUGGACCACUACUGACGCUGAGGAACGAAAGCUAGGGGAGCA
rnacentral:rRNA from 1 species